rnacentral:rRNA from 1 species
AUACCGGCCAGAGACCGAUAGCGCACAAGUAGAGUGAUCGAAAGAUGAAAAGUACUUUGAAAAGAGGGUUAAAUAGCACGUGAAAUUGUUGAAAGGGAAGCGUUUAUGACCAGACCUUCGCCGGGCGGAUCAUCCGGUGUUCUUCACCGGUGCACUUCGCCCGGCUUAGGCCAGCAUCGGUUUUCGCAGGGGGAUAAAGGCCCCGGGAACGUAGCUCCCUCCGGGGAGUGUUAUAGCCCGGGACGUAAUACCCUUGCGGGGACCGAGGUUCGCGCUCCGGCAAGGAUGCUGGCGUAAUGGUCAUCAACGACCCGUCUU